rnacentral:rRNA from 1 species
UACGUAGGGUGCGAGCGUUAAUCGGAAUUCCUGGGCGUAAAGCGUGCGCAGGCGGUUGUGCCAGACAGAUGGGAAAUCCCCGGGCUUAACCUGGGAAUUGCAUUUGUGACUGCACGGCUAGAGUGUGUCAGAGGGGGGUAGAAUUCCACGUGUAGCAGUGAAAUGCGUAGAUAUGUGGAGGAAUACCGAUGGCGAAGGCAGCCCCCUGGGAUAACACUGACGCUCAUGCACGAAAGCGUGGGGAGCAAACAGG